rnacentral:misc_RNA from 1 species
GUUGCGUCACGGGUCGAGUUAAUCAAGACUUUUGAGUGACAAUAUGCUCGAUGUCGAAGGCAUUGUAACCCAACAAGUGGGGAGUUCGAUUUGGUUGGGACAAAUCGAACGAUCUGCGGUAGCAGCGAUAAAUGAUGUGUUGUGGAUGCAACCUUAGCCAUGCACGGAUGUUGUUGUUACUUUCUGAUUUUGAUGAGAUUUGUCGAUUCUUGGAGCGAUGUCAAGUUGUUUAGGGAUCUUAGUUUAACUUUGAUCUUAGUUUUAUGCUUAAUUGGUAUCUUCAUAAGGCCUGCACUAUCAGUACGAUUGUAUGGCAUGUUGUUGUUUGAUUGUUGCCUUACGAUUGGAUUGUUGGUGUAACCGAUGACAUGAUUUGGCCUGUUAAUCAUAAAGCUGUGAUUACAAUUUGACGUUGUUUCGUUUGUUGAUGAAUUUUGUUGAAUGGUGUUAAAAGGGGCUGAUUUUUCGAUGCGUUGUUGGUGAUGACAUUCGUCUAGAGGUGAUGCGGUGUCAUGUUGCCUGUGUAUCCUGGUUUUGAGUUAUUGAACUUAAAACAUGUGGAUUGUCGGUUAGUGGCUUGGCAUCGCUCCCUUGGUUGAUGAAAGUCAUCCAAUGAUGCGGUGGUUUUUUUGUUUUCUUCUCGCAUUGCUCGGUGCAUUCUGGGGUCAUUUUGGCUGUUGGCAGCUUGCUUGGCAAUUGAGCUUGGUGGGUUGCUACCGGUUGGGUGUCUUCGGGGAUGUCUAUCGUAAAGGUGCAUGAGUGGUGUUUGGUUUGUUACGGGUGGUUGGCUCUUUGCUUGCGCAACAACUUCUACCCGGCAUACCUCUUCAGUCUUGUGUCAAUGCUUGUAUUGCAUUGRAUGCAYGACGGGUUUCUUGUGUUGCAUGCCUAACUAAUGGUAUCACUUGAUGUAUCGGUUUUCCUUUCGUCUUGCAUUGCCUAUGUGAUGUGAGAUGAACCUUGAAGCAGCCUUUGUGAUCCACUCUUUUGAUGCAUACGCAUUGAUUUUGUGGCCCAUUGAGUGUUGCUUGGUCUCAUGGAUAUGGAACCUGGUGUGGGCAUGGAAUCUUAAUGGUUCCUUGUUUGUCCAAGUUUAGCUUUUCUAAAACGAUUGUCU